GACGAACGCUGGCGGCGUGCCUAAUACAUGCCAGUUGAGCGAUGAAGCUUGGUGCUUGCACCAAUUUGAAGAGCAGCGAACGGGUGAGUAACGCGUGGGGAAUCUGCCUUUGAGCGGGGGACAACAUUUGGAAACGAAUGCUAAUACCGCAUAACAACUUUAAACAUAAGUUUUAAGUUUGAAAGAUGCAAUUGCAUCACUCAAAGAUGAUCCCGCGUUGUAUUAGCUAGUUGGUGAGGUAAAGGCUCACCAAGGCGAUGAUACAUAGCCGACCUGAGAGGGUGAUCGGCCACAUUGGGACUGAGACACGGCCCAAACUCCUGCGGGAGGCAGCAGUAGGGAAUCUUCGGCAAUGGACGAAAGUCUGACCGAGCAACGCCGCGUGAGUGAAGAAGGUUUUCGGAUCGUAAAACUCUGUUGGUAGAGAAGAACGUUGGUGAGAGUGGAAAGCUCAUCAAGUGACGGUAACUACCCAGAAAGGGACGGCUAACUACGUG
rnacentral:rRNA from 1 species